UAGGGAAUAUUAGAAAUGGACGAAAGUCUGAUCUAGCAACACCGCGUGUGCGAAGAAGGCCUUCGGGUUGUAAAGCACUUUUUGGAAGGAUUAGGAAGGAAUGUACUUCCAGAAUAAGUCUCGGCUAACUACGUGCCAGCAGCCGCGGUAACACGUAGGAGGCAAACGUUAUCCGGAUUUACUGGGCGUAAAGCGCGUGUAGGUGGUUCUGUAAGUAGGGCGUGAAAGCUCCUGGCUCAACUGGGAGAGGCCGUUCUAAACUGCAGAGCUAGAGGAUGGUAGAGGGAGGGGGAAUUCCGGGUGUAGCGGUGGAAUGCGCAGAUAUCCGGAGGAACACCAGUGGCGAAAGCGGCCUCCUGGACCAUUCCUGACACUCAGACGCGAUAGCUAGGGUAGCAAACG
rnacentral:rRNA from 1 species